ensembl:lncRNA
GUUCCACAUAGCUAGUAACUAGUAGAACCACAAUUUGUAUCCAGUUCUUCCAGGGCCCAGGCCUUUUCACACUGUACCAAGUUACCUCUAUUUUUAAAUCCUUGUUUGCUAAUGAUAUGGCCAAGUAAUUGAAUACAAGGCUACUAUUUUCUCCAUCUUACAGAAGGAAAGACUAAUAAGACACAGAGAUCAAAUAUCCUAUACAAUGUCAUAUAGAAAAAAAAAAUGGUAUAAACAAUGGAUCAAGUCUUCCAUCAUCAUCAUCAAUGUGAACUCCCACCCUAUAAGCGAGGAAUUACAGCAGACGUUUUACAUGUAUUCUCUUAAUUCUUAAAAUAACCUGUUAAUGCAAGUACUUUUAUCCUAUUCUACAGAGACAGAAAUUAAGGCACAGAAACGUUUUGUUUCUUUUCAAAAAUCAUGCAACUAGUAAGUGUCAGAAUUUGGGCAGGAGUUAAGACUAGAAGACAGGCAUUGAAAUUCAUUGUUUUACUGCCUGUCUCCCCUGGGAAAUGGUCUAUACAAUCCGGUUUGUAUAUAGUGCUUUACAGAAUAUAUAGAAAACAUGAAAACUUUCUCACUCAUUUCCCUUGAUAGUCAAGCCUUUUUCCAAAACAACAAAGAAGCCCCAUUCUGUCUUUGGUGAGAAGUGCACUUUGCUGGUGGAGUUAGGUUGCAGUGUGGCUCCAAAUCAACCUUCUUAUUGAAGAGAUCUGCUUUGGAGAUCUUAGUCUUAAAGAGCUUUGAAACAGGGACAAUGGCAGCAGCCACCUCUAAUAUUUAAAAACGUUCUGUCUGAUGGGUUUCAAAGUCAGUAAAGCUUAUAUUCUCAGAUUUGGAUGGUUAGUGACCCGCUUAACAAAUCAGUUGGCAACUGGAACAAACUAUUUAUGAAAAAGUAUUUUUGAAGAACAAGCAUUGGAAGAGACUCAUUCAAAAUAUAAAAUUCCAGCUGUGUUGACCUUUAGAGAGGAAAAGUUAAACAUAACUAAAAGUCACUGGCUUUGGAAGCAGAUGGGAGCCAAUGCUUAGCUUCAAGAGAAAUCAUUAUCAUCAUCAAAGUCAGUACAUUUUCAAUAAGCCUUUCAAACACUUAAUAUCAGAGAACGUUCCUAACCAAAUUUCUAUCAUUUUACUUAAUCAUUCCUUUGUGCAUUCAUUCCAAAUAUUUAAGUAACUACUCUGUGCUCAAAGGAAAUUCAAAUAUGAAUAAGAUAUAGUAAGUAAUAUUACUCUAGUGUAUUACAGGAAGUUAUGAUCAAGAGUUAAUUAUUAUGGGAGCCCAGUGAAGUGAAAAGGGAAGUUUUAGUCACUCAAACUUGUUGGAUUGUCUGCAACCCCAUGGACUGUAGCCCACCAUGGACAGGCUGCACUGUCCAUGGGAUUUCCCAGGCAAGAAUACUGGAAGUGGGUGUCAUUUCCUUCUUCAGGGGAUCUUCCUGACUCAGGGACCAAACCCAGGUCUCCUUCACUGGAGGCAGAUUCUUUACCAUCUGCUGCUGCUGCUAAGUUGCUUCAGUUGUAUCUGACUCUGUGCGACCCCAUGGACUGCAGCCUAUCAGGCUUCUCCGUCCCUGGUAUUCUCCAGGCAAGAACACUGGAGUGGGUUGCCAUUUCCUUCUCCAAUAUAUGAAAGUGGAAAGUGAAAGUGAAGUCGCUCUGUUUCGUCUGACUCUUAGCGACCCCAUGGAUUGUAGCCCAACAGGCUCCUCCAUCCAUGGGAUUUUCCAGGCAACAGUACUGGAGUGGGGUGCCAUUGCCUUCUCCCAUCUGAGUCCAGUGUAAAACCUUGUGAGCAGGAAAGGCAAAUGGAAAAAAAUAAAUAAAGGAAAAAGAGGGUGUGGUAUAUAAGCUAAACAUUGUGACGCUCAGAGCUCUCAUUCAUUCCUGGCUCAGCGUUUUAUUUGUUUGGUUGUUUGUUUAAAGUAUUCUUUGCUAUAGCCAGGAAAUAUCCAAAUGAGUCACAUAAAUUAUUUUCAUUUGAUUAAUAAGUGCUCAACUGAUGUUGAAUUCUUCCUUCCAUUCCUUCUCCUCUUCCCCAGUCCACCUUCAGAGUUAGGAAUUAGGAUACUCAUUUCCCUUCACUCUCUGUGUGCUGGGAUAUUGCAGAACAAGGUAGAAUCUAGGUUCUCUCUCUUGAGUCAGAGCAGCAGGGGCCUGGAGGGUGGGAUGAAUUGGGAGAUUAAGAUUGACGUAUACAUGCUAAGUCGAUUCAGUCGUGUCCGACUCUGUGAGACCCCAUAGACGGCAGCCCACCAGGCUCCCCCAUCCCUGGGAUUCUCCAGGCAAUGCAUGAAAGUGGAAAGUGAAAGUGAAGUCGCUCAGUUGCGUCUGACUCUUAGCGACCCCAUGGACUGCAGCCUACCAGGCUCCUCCAUCCAUGGGAUUUUCCAGGCAACAGUACUGGAGUGGGGUGCCAUUGCCUUCUCGAUGAUGUAUACAUAGUGCUAUGUAUAAAACAGAUAACUAGUGAGAACUUACUGUAUAACAUAGGGAACUCUGUUCAACGCUCUGUGGUGACCUAAAUGGGAGGGAAAUCUAAAGAAGAGUGGACAUGGGCUUCCAUGGUGGUCCACUGGUUAAGAAUUCACCUUGCCAUGCAAGGGACACCAAUGCAAUCCCUGGUCUGGGAGGAUCCCACAUGCAGCGGAGCAACUAAGCCCAUGCACCACAACUGCUGAGCCAGCUCUCUAGGGCCCAUGCUCCACAAUAAGAGAAGCCACCGCAAUGAGAAGCUCGUGUGCUGCAGCUAGUGAGUAGUCUCCGCUUUUCUGCCACAGGUAGAGAAAGCCCGCAUGCAGCAACGAAGACCCACCGCAGUCAAAAAAUAAAUCAAUAAAUAAAUCUUUUUAAAAUACAAGAGUAGAUAUAUGUAUACGUAUAACUGAUACACUUUACUGUACAGCAAAGUGUAUACUUCAAUACAAAUAAUUAAUAAUAAUAAAAGAGCAGCAGGAGCCUUAUCAGGGAUUUAGCCAGUGUGAAAAGGGAUGAAUUGUUAUUAAAAUUCUGGGCGGGGACAUAUAGCCUCAGCCGACAGGGACUAGCAGCAGGACUGGAAAGCCUGAGGUCUUUUUUUAUCUCUGUCCCUUGCUGUGAUUGUACUCUAUUUUUUUUUCUCUCAUUAAAGAGGCACUUUCUUCGAAGACCAGGCUACACGGUGCAAAAUGGCAGAUCUAGGUCUCAUGCUUUCUGUUGUCUCCAUGUGUGCU